AACACUUCUUGGCCUUUUGGCUAAGAUCAAGUGUAGUAUCUGUUCUUAUCAGUUUAAAUGUGUGACUUAUAGACUUUCAUUUAUUCUGCACACCUCUUUUUUUUUUUUGGCCAGUCCUGGGCCUUGGACUCAGGGCCUGAGCACUGUCCCUGGCUUCUUCCCGCUCAAGGCUAGCACCCUGC